rnacentral:rRNA from 1 species
AUUGAACGCUGGCGGCAGGCCUAACACAUGCAAGUCGAGCGGAGCGGCGGUCGGGUGAGGAAUGCCUAGGACUCGGCCUGGUCCUGGGGGCUAAGGUCAGGAAACGGGAGCUGAUGCCGACUACUAUAAGCUGAGCAUAGGUCGGAUUAGCUAGGUGGUGGGGUAAGGGCAUACCCAGGAGACGAGCCGUAACUGGGCUGAGAUGAUGAUCAGUCACACUGGAACUGAGACACGGUCCAGACUCCUACGGGAGGCAGCAGUGGGGAAUAUUGGACAAUGGGCGAAAGCCUGAUCCAGCCAUGCCGCGUGUGUGAAGAAGGUCUUCGGAUUGUAAAGCACUUUAAGUUGGGAGGCGUUACCAACAGAAGAAGCACCGGCUAACUUCGUGCCAGCAGCCGGGGUAAUAC